GGCAAGUGAAAACUGGAAAGCGAAUUGUGAAACCCGUUUGGCGACGGCGUCUGAAAAGGGACGGCCGGAACGGCUCUCCCUCUCUGUCCGUGCGCCCGCCCCGGCGACGGCUCCCCGGCUGGCGUCGAGUCCUCCCAGCGGCUGGCGGCUCCUACCGGCAGCGAGGUGAAACCAGUUGGUUAAGUACCAGCUGACGAUGGAUUUCAUGGCAUUGUUCUGCCAGCUGAAAAUGGAGGCAUGUGGCAGAGUGUGUACUUACGGGAUCUGUACAUGCUCAAAGUCCUCCUCACUCGACCUGAUGACGACCUCGCGUCCGGCCUUGUGGAGCAGGUAGCAUAAUACUUGAUCCAAAUCAGGCAUUGCUAUCACUUUCAGCUUCUUAAGUUCCUUCAGGUGCUGCAAUCCUUGCGGAAGCGCCUUCAGCUUGGUGCACUUGCAGAGAGUUAGUAUCCUGAGCUUCGGCAUGGCGCCAUCCUCCAAUAUCCACUCCUCAAUAUCCAGAUCGUGGAGCACCAAAUUGUGCAGGUCUGGAAACCCACCAGAAGGGCAGGUCAUGGUCGCGCCAGUGUAUGACUUGACCCCUAUUUCCAACACAUUCAGGAACGUCAGCCAGCUCCCAAGUGUCGGCAUGGGGUCUUCAUCAUUCAGCAGAUUAGGACAGCUGAUUUUCAGCCGUCUCAGGUUGUGCGGGAGGAGGUGCAGAUCAGGAAGAUGCAGGUCGUUGGGCACCCCAAACUCGUCCUCGCACGCCCCGACAAUUUCCAGCUGCUUGACGCUCCGGUAGUGCUUCCCAAAGCACCAGGAGGGAUUUUCUUCCAUUCUGUCAGUUGCUCCUUCCCAUUGCUUUGGGGUGUUGGCUGCCAGGAAUAUGAAAAGUGACUUCAGGUUGCUCUGCAUGUUCGUCUUCCACAUGGACCAUGACUCGACCUUGUAGAUAUGGAUAUGCUUCAGUGUUGAAAUGCUCAAGAGAUCAAUAGGGAGCGCUUCCACUGUGGCAUCCCUUGCAUCAAAAGUUUGCAAGUUUGUGAGAUUACUGACGGCAGCAGGAAGUACAUAUGUGCCACCUUUCAAGCCAAGGUACCUCAGAUGUACCAUCUGGCCGAUCUCUGCAGGUAGCUGCCAUCUCCCUCUCAUGCCAUCAAAGUAGAGUACCCGCAGGUAAUUCAAGCCUCGGAAAGAGAAGACGUCCUUUUCUAGCCGAGCUGCAUUGAAGAUCAGCAAGGUGUGCAGAUUUGGCAUAGCAACACCGACCUUCACGCAAACGGAGUCGUAGAGAACCACCCUGUAAGCUCUCAUUUCAUUGGAAUAUGAGGUCUCCACUUCAUCUCUGGAACUGCAGUCUUUCAAGAAGCCUUCUCUUCGAGCUCGCCCAAUUCCCCAGUCGCGCAACACGUCAUGUACCUUAACGGCCCUGAUGCACCUGGAGCUCUUCUUUUCAAUUAGGAUCAAGCAGCGCUGGGCCAGUUCUUCCACAUACCCGAGCGCAGUUUCUUCAAGGGAGCGUCCACGCACGUUUGAUAUGAAACCCUCUGAAAUCCACAACUUCGUCAGAAGGCCAACCGGGACUGCGUAGUCUUCUGGGAAUGAUGUGAUGUACAAAAAGCAUGCCUUCAGAUUGCUUGGCAGAUCAUAGUAACUUAGGUCCAGUAUGGCUCUGAUGUCACCUUCAUUCUUCAUUGUGUCCCAGUUUACGCUAGCAACCAUUCUUCUCCACUCGGUGAUCCUGAGAUUCUUUGAAAGGAAACCUCCCAUGACUACAAUUGCAAGAGGCAAGCCAUUGCAUUUUAAUGCAAGUACCUUGCCUAGUUCUCUGAAGCUAUCCAGAUCAUCUCUGCCAUGGACGACAUAGGAAGGGAAUGCCUUUCUGUUGAAUAACUCUAUACUUUCGUCGUCGUUAAGGAGCUUGACCUGCUGGAUUAUUUUUCUUGCGUUGGGGUGAUUGGAAACUGCUGAGUUGCGAGUUGUCAGAACAAUUCUGCUUCCAUUUUUCACAUCAGGAAAGGCAGCUUGGACCAUAUCCCAGUCUUUCAUUUUCCAGACAUCAUCUAAGACUACAAGUGCACCAUAGACCGAAAAUUGCUGUGAGAUGCAUAUCCAUACGGAGGAGUUGAAAUGCUUUUUGGCGACAAGAUUGUAGACCUUCCUGGCAAUGGUUGAUUUCCCUGAGCCCCCUGGACCAACAAGGGAGACGACAGUGAGGUCCUUGUUCUCCAAGUCAAGCAGUUGAUCCUUGACCUGGUUGAUUUCACUGUCAAAGCCAAUGACAUCAACCUCAUCCCCGAAAUCCGGAAGCAUCAGUCUCCUAGAGCGUAGAGUCUCGUUCUCAUCCAUACUGUAUCUUGUCUCAGUCAGGCUAGUUCUCUGAAUGUUAUACUUUUCAAAUUCUUUGAAGAUCUUAUUAACUCUUGCUGUCACCUGGUCAAUUCUUUUUCCGACGCUGUGCAGGCGCUUGCAGUGGACCGGGUAAUAGGCGCCCUUGGAUAUGGCGCCGAGGAGGGACGGCGGUCUGUUGUUCUCCCUGGCCAAGAUGUUGGCCGUGUCGAUGAUGAUCUCGACGCUGUAGGCGACGUCCCUGACCUCCGACACCAGUUGGCUGAGCAUCUCAUUCUCGCCCCUCUCCAUCCUCGCGUCGGCGUCCCUGAGGAAGCACUGCAUGCGCUUGAGCUCGGACUUGAGGGCCUCCACCUUGGCAGGAACCUGGCCCAGAGAAGCGACUUCUUGGAUCACGGUGGCGCCUGCCCGCUGCAGCACAGCAGCGACCGCGUGUUCGGCCAUGUCGUGUGAUCUCUGCGUUAUAAAGCACAAGGUCAUGCAACUUACAUAUGGUCCGAGAGUCUCUAAGAGGAGAAGUGGAUCCAAAGGAGCAACCAUGUGGCCUCAUGUGGUAAGGAGGGACACAAAUGGAUGCGUGGGACGGUUCAGACUGAGGCGGGGCAAGAUUUAUAAACUGAAGUCGACACAACAAGAAGAUGAAGAGCAUGAGGGGCUCGCGUACCUGAAUCCGCUGGCUAUCCGGCGAGGAGAGGACGACGGCAAUGGGUUGUGCUGGAUCGGGGUCGUUGUGCGUGGAGGAAGCCGCGUGGUUUGUUGGAUCAUCACCCGAACAUUAUUCUCAAGUCAGCUCGUGCUGCUGCGUCAGGGACAGUGACAGGGAGAUGAUUGUGGUUUCAAUACCAUGAUGGGCGUGGACGUUUGACCCGGUGUCUCCGGCCGGACGAGUUCAUGGCUUGCCCUCACCCUUGUCAGUUUGUGUAGCUCGUUUUUUUGUUCCAACACACUCUGGCUUUGCGGUUGGAGGCGCUAUCUGUGAUGUGGGCCAUAACGCGAACUAGCGAGUGUCCACCCACCCAAGCUCGCUCGUCGUUUCGUUUGGUUCCAAAAUACAAGCCUUUUUAAAGAUUUCAAUAAAAGACUACACAUGGAGCAGAA